rnacentral:snRNA from 1 species
UACUUACGUCAGCCACAAAUAGAUUAAAAUUGGACCCAUACAGAGAUGAUUAGCAUGACCUUU